GCCUGAUGUCAUUGUGUGUUAUUUAAAAAAUCACUGAUCAUAAAUAUAGGGCUAAAUGACAGAUGUGCACCUAUUGAUCCUUCCACUUCUCUUAGAUUCUUCAAACAGGAAGUCUCAGAUUGCUGCAGACAGGGGUGACGCUUAUUGGCUGAGAGCAUUAUCUGAUGCUUUAAGCUAACCAGUAGCUCUCCAUUCCUAAAAAUUGCUUGAGAAUAAUACAUAGUUUCAUAAGCCAGUUCGUAAAUGGGGAGCUACACUGACACUCUCAGAAAAUCAGUGGUGACCCUGUACACAGUUGUCUGAGGCUUCCUGUUUGUUCCUCUUCUGUCAUUUUUCUGAGAUUCUUCAAAGCUAAAUAGCACUGGAGAAACGGUUUUGGGAUUAAUGAACAAUUUUACCCCUAAUGUUAAAAUAGCACAAGGGAAGCCGUGGCACCUUAACAACUUCGUUCAGAAAUACAGGUUUACAUUAAACGUUUACAUUGCUGAGUUGAAGUUUUUUGUUUUCAGUUAAAUAAACUCUACAGAUAAUUAAACUUUCUUUCUGGAAGCUAUAUUUUGGUCCUUUUAUCACUCAUUAAAUUAUAUGAUCAUAGUUCUACCUCCAGAGAAUUGGUGAGAAAUCCUUUUCAUUUGAGUUCACAGUUACCUUUUGAUCAUUCUGUUAUUUGAAAUAUGUAUUACUUACUCCCUUGUUUCUCUGUAUUAACUAGUUGCAAGAUAUAAUUUAUGGACUCCAGAAUUAAUUAUCUGCAUCAAUGCUUAAAAGGGAUACUAUAGGUACCCAGACCCGUUCAUGUCAUUUAAAUGGUCUGACUGCACUGUCCCUGCCACCUUAACCCCACAGCUGAAAACAUUGCAGUUUUAGAGAAACUGCCAUGUUUUUAUUGCAUUGUUAAGACUGCCUCCAGUGGCUGUCUACCAGACCGUCCCUAUAGGUACUUCCUGCUGUUUCACUGAGUUUAACUUCCUGAUACAACUCUGGACAUCAUCACUCUUUGCGUCUUCUAAAUCCCCAAUAGAAAGCAUUGAUUCAAUACCUAUAGAUUGUUAGCACUGAGUUUUCAAUAAGUAAUUCACAGCAGACUAUUAUACCUGAAUAACAUUUUCAAAUAUUGCCUUGUUCCUUAUUUGUGCUCUGUUUUGGAUUUUAAAAGCUUCCAGGAAGUAUCAUAGGCACAUCAGUCUUGAUGCAAUUGAAAGUCAUGUCUCCUUUUUCACAGGACUGUCUUUAACAGAAGCAUAUCAUAUAAUUUUGUGAAAAAUUAUACUUGUCUCUCUCUUUAUACACUAGCUUUAUUGUUUAUCAUAGUGAUAAAUGGUCUGUUUAAUUGGAUUACGUUGUAAUUGCCUACUUACUUCUUUACCACUGAUGGUGCAGCUAUUGUGUUGGGUUUGUAGUUGUUAUAUUAAUCUAAUAGACAUUCCCUUCUCCCACCCCAUGCUACCCAAUCUUCCCUGAUUUGGAACACUUCACCAAACAGGCUGCAACUUUCCCAUGAGGCUGACAUGCUUGCUUCAUUAGCAGUGGAUUGGUGUCUGUCACUCUUACUCUAUUCCUCUUGAAAUGUACGAGACACACUUGCUAAAACAAAUACUGACAGCAACUACAGCACAGUGCAAUAGUUGCUGUGAAGAAGAAUAAGGGAACCAUCUAUAUGAAGGGACUCCUAUUUUCUCCUGUCCAGGGGUGCCAUCAGAAGUCUUAGGGCACCUUUAAAAAAUAUUGCUCGGGCCCCCUUCACACAAACUGUCCUACACACACAUUGCCAGACACAAAUAUACAAUGUCAUGCACAUGCAUGGUUAGAUAGACAGGUACACAAUGUUAGAAACACACCUAUACUCAUAGUCAUAUAUACAUGCCACACACAGCAUCAAACAGACACACAUUUCGACAUGUGUACACAGUCAAACACACACUCAUACAAUGUUAGAUACACAGGCAUAGCCAGAGACUCAUGCACACUUUGUCAAACAAACAGUCAGACAUACACACUCACACACAUAGUUACACACACACGGUCAAACACUCACAUGCAGAUAUACAAACUUACACACACACUGUCAAACAGACACACAUAUAUAUAUAUAUAUACAUAUAUAUAUAUAAAAAUCCAAAUAACCCCUGCACUCCAACUGUAAUAAAACUUAAAUACCUGGUGCUCUGGUGGCUGAAUGAUAUAUAAUAAAGUUAUACCGGCACAAUUUUAGCUUGAAACACUGCACAACGAGAAACACUAGCACACGUGUGCCGAGGGUUAGUUACACCCCUGAUGAAAGCUCCUGUGAGGAGCUGAAACGUCGAUUUAUUCUUCGCAAUAAAUGAAGAUUUGUUUGUGGUGAAACCCUUGAGUGCCGGUAUAACUUUAUUAUAUAUAUAUACAUAUAUAUACAAACAAACACACAAUACAUAUACACAUAUACACCCUCUGUCAACAGACACAAAGCCAGACAUACGCACACACACAAAAGUGACAUACAGACAGAGUCAAACACUUAAAAAUACAGAGCACCAACCUCUUCCCCUCUCCACAGUAAUAGCCAUAAAUAUCCCCUACCCUUAAAAAUCACCACUCACUUUACCUCGCAUGCCAUGUAUUCCAGCUUGUGCAGCAGAGCAGUGUGAGAGUCGAGACCAGGGGUGAGGGCAGUGAUAUAACAUGUCAUAUCCCUGACUCCUCGCACAUGAUCCUCGGUUGCUAGUUAGCUCUAUGGUAACAAUGGAAGGAAGUGAUAUCUAUAUCACAUCCUACAGUGCUGCUGUCUGUGAGGGAGGAGAAGAAGGUGUAAGCCAAAAACUAUUUAUGGAUAUAAUUUGGAGGUGGAAGGGCUGCAAGGUGGGAGGGGACAUAUAAGACUGCCUGCAAGGGGAGAAUCACAUUACAUCUGCCAUCUGCACUCAUUGCAUAGAAUUGAUAUUAGGUAGCCCGACGUGUGCUAGGGCCUAGGGGUGUAACUAGCCCUCGGCACACGUGUGCUAGUGUUUCUCGUUGUGCAGUGUUUCAAGCUAAAAUUGUCUUCCAGACUCCUAACUACAUCCAGAAACACUGUACAUCCAGAUUACUACCACCAUGACCACUUCAAAAGCAGAAGUGGUCAUGGUGGUUAGGUAAACUUUUAAGGAUUAUCAGAUUGAACAAUGUCUAUGUAUGAGGAGGGUCACUAUUUUUGCAUUAAAAAAUAUAUUAAAAAGAAAAAAAAAUUCACAGAACCAAUUCCUUGGUAAAUUAUGUGUGUUUAUGCUAUAGAUUUAAAAUAUCCCUACUUACUGUUGAGUAACACAAUACAGUUACAUUAGAUUAUAUACUUUCUGUGAUGCAAAAAUGACAAUUGUAUACAUACACUCAGGUAAGUUAACUAACCUAUUCAAGCAGGUUAAGUAAAAUAUAUAUAAAUGUAAUAAUUUAUGUAACAG
rnacentral:lncRNA from 1 species